rnacentral:rRNA from 1 species
GGGAAUUUUCGGCAAUGGGCGAAAGCCUGACCGAGCAACGCCGCGUGAACGAAGAAGGUCUUCGGAUUGUAAAGUUCUGUUAUAGAGGAAGAACGGUGUACGUAGGAAAUGACGUACAAGUGACGGUACUCUGUGAGAAAGCCACGGCUAACUACGUGCCAGCAGCCGCGGUAAUACGUAGGUGGCAAGCGUUAUCCGGAAUUAUUGGGCGUAAAGAGGGAGCAGGCGGCAGCAAAGGUCUGUGGUGAAAGACUGAAGCUUAACUUCAGUAAGCCAUAGAAACCAGGCAGCUAGAGUGCAGGAGAGGAUCGUGGAAUUCCAUGUGUAGCGGUGAAAUGCGUAGAUAUAUGGAGGAACACCAGUGGCGAAGGCGACGAUCUGGCCUGCAACUGACGCUCAGUCCCGAAAGCGUGGGGAGCAAAUAGG